rnacentral:lncRNA from 1 species
GUAAGUUCCUAAGCUAUGACUUACUAGUUAAUUUACAUUUGGGCAAGCAACUUGACCUCUCCAAGUCUCCAUUCCCUCAAGUGGUGAUAAUAACAACAGCACCUACUUCCCUGUACCUAUAUGCCUGGCUGAGAGGAAGGACAGUAAAGUCUCAUUGUCUUAUGAGCAUAAAGUGGAGUUUUCCAGAGACUAUACAACACACAGUGUUGAACAGACUGAAUGAAGAAGCAAAUAUGAGAAUCCUGACCAGCUUCUAUCAAGCCAUGCAUGAAAGAGAUUUGCAAAGAAUGUAAAGCAAUGUGACUCUUCUAGUUCCAUUAUUUUAGUUUUUGAAAAUAGCAAUUUUUACGAAAUUUGUAUUAAUAUAAACAAACACUAUGUUUAUUGUUGUUAUUCCUAAAUAAUAAAUACGUUUUUUCACUUUGAA